rnacentral:rRNA from 1 species
UACGGAGGGGGCGAGCGUUGUUCGGAAUCAUUGGGCGUAAAGGGCGCGUAGGCGGCCGACCAAGUCGGAUGUGAAAUCCCUCGGCUCAACCGAGGAACUGCACUCGAUACUGGUUGGCUAGAGUCCGGGAGGGGAUGGUGGAAUUCCCAGUGUAGCGGUGAAAUGCGUAGAUAUUGGGAAGAACACCGGUGGCGAAGGCGGCCAUCUGGACCGGCACUGACGCUGACGGCGCGAAAGCCAGGGGAGCCGAAUGGG